rnacentral:rRNA from 1 species
GGAGUUUGGACCGUGUCUCAGUUCCAAUGUGGGGGACCUUCCUCUCAGAACCCCUACUGAUCGUAGGCUUGGUGGGCCGUUACCCCGCCAACAACCUAAUCAGACGCAUCCCCAUCCUAUAGCGGUAAACCUUUGGUAUUCUUCAGAUGUCUUCUAAAUACAACAUAGAGCAUUAAUCCGACUUUCGCCGGGCUAUUCUCUACUAUAGGGAAGGUUGGAUACGCGUUACUCACCCGUGCGCCGGUCGCCAUCAAUCAAAGCAAGCUUCGAUCAUGCUGCCCCUCGACUUGCAUGUGUUAAGCCUGUAGCUAGCGUUCAUC